rnacentral:rRNA from 1 species
UGAGUAACCUGCCCUCGGCACCGGAAUAGCCCGGGGGAAACCCGGAUUAAUGCCGGAUAGCCCCUCCGCCUUACGGGGCGGCGGGAAAAGGUAGCUUUGGCCUCUGGCCGAGGAUGGGCUCGCGGCGGAUUAGCUUUGUUGGCGGGGUAAUGGCCCACCAAGGCGACGAUCCGUAGCUGGUCUGAGAGGACGAUCAGCCACACUGGGACUGAGACACGGCCCAGACCUCCGUACGGGAGCAG